rnacentral:rRNA from 1 species
AGUGAACGCUGGCGGCAUGCCUAACACAUGCAAGUCGAACGGCAGCACAGUGAGUUUUUGCUGUUCUCGGGUGGCGGACGGGGGAGUGAGACGUGUGCAUCCGACCCUUCUUUUUGGGGUGGCUUCACGAAGCGGAACUUACGCCCGGAUCGCAUCCCAUCUACCAGUGUGGGCAUUGGAUCGUUGCGCCUGUUGCGUUUGAAUGAGCCGAUGUCGGACUGGUUAGUUGGCGGGGUAAAGGCCUACCAAGGCGAGGAUCUGUAGCUGGUCUGAGAGGAGGAUCGGCCACACUGGAACUGGGACACGGACCAGACUCCUGCGGGAGGGAGCAGUGGGGAAUGUUGGACAAUGGGCGGAAGCCUGAUCCAGCGAUCCCGCGUGUGUGAAGAAGGCCUUCGGGUUGUAAAGCCCUUUUGUUGGGAAAGAAAAGCUGCAGGUUAAUACCCCGCGGGUGUGACGGUACCGGAAGAAUAAGCACCGGCUAACUACGUG